CAGAGUUCAUGCCCUCACGGGUAGAUCUCCCACCCUUGUGUACUAUAAAUAUCUGUUGCUUUGGCGGGUCGCGAGCUCACCCUCGCCCUGUGUACCCGCCAGAGGACCAAUAAACUCCGAAUGUUAGUGUCGUCUGAGUACUAUAUAAUAGUUA
rnacentral:misc_RNA from 1 species